AGAGUUUGUAUCAGUGGCUCAGGACGAACGCUGGCGGCGUGCUUAACACAUGCAAGUCGAACGGGGAUAUGACAGGAAGGGCUUCGGUCCGGAAGGUUAUAUUCGAGUGGCGGACGGGUGAGUAACGCGUGAGCAAUCUGUCCCAGACAGGGGGAUAACACUUGGAAACAGGUGCUAAUACCGCAUGAGACCACAGUAUCACAUGGUACAGGGGUAAAAGAUGCAAAUCGGUUUGGGGUGAGCUCGCGUCCGAUUAGAUAGUUGGUGAGGUAACGGCCCACCAAGUCGACGAUCGGUAGCCGGACUGAGAGGUUGAACGGCCACAUUGGAACUGAGAGACGGUCCAAACUCC
rnacentral:rRNA from 1 species